AAUAAAUUCAAUCAACACAAACGUAUUCAUACAGGGGAGAAACCACAUUAAGUGUAGUAUCUGUGGUAAAUCAUUCUUAAGUAGCAGUCACUUAACACGACACAUACGUAUUCAUACAGGAGAGAAACCAUUUCCUUGUGAUGUAUGUGGUAAAUCUUUCCCUGAAAACAGUGGCUUAACUCAACACAAACGUAUUCAUUCAGGGGAGAAGCCAUAUCACUGUAGUAUCUGUGGUAAUUCAUUCUCUAAUGACAGUCACUUAACUCGACAUAUACAUAUCCAUACAGGAGAGAAACCAUAUCAAUGUGAUUUAUGUGGUAAAUCUUUCUAUGAAAACGGUAGCUUAACUCAACACAAACGUAUUCAUACAGGGGAGAAACCAUAUUCCUGUGAUAUCUGUGGUGAAUCAUUCUAUCACAGAGGUAACUUUACUACUCACUCAAGGGUUCAUACAGGGGAGAGGCCAUAUCACUGUGAUAUCUGUGAUAAAUCAUUCUCUGUUAGUAGUUGCCUAACUAGACACAAGCGUAUUCAUGCAGUGGAGAAAACCUCUCCGUGAUAUCAGUGGCAAAUCAUUCUUUCAAAGAAGUAACUUAACUACUUACACAAGGUUGCUUAACUAUACACAUAUUCAUUCAUACUGGAGAAAAACAUGUUCACAGUUAUAUCUAUGGUAGGUCCUUGCUGAUUUAAACAGAAGUCUUUCCUUAUGAAGUGGAUUCAUAACACAGUGAUAUUUGUUGUAUAACAUUUCCUCAGAAGGGCAAAGGAGGGAAAUCAUAUCACUGUGAUAUCAGUGCUUAAUCAUUCUAUCAAAAUGGAGAAUUAUACACAGUCAUAUUAAUAUGAAAGAUAAAACCAUACCCUAAGACAUUUGUGUUGAAUCAAUCUAUGAAAAUGAUCAAUUAUUAAAACAUAACUGCAUUCAUACAGAAGAGGAACCACGAUGAUGAUGGUCCUCAUCAUUUAACAUUCACUUUUCCAUGCUUCUGUGGAUCAGAUGGAAUUCAUUGAUGGAGAUUUUCUCCAGCUGGAUGCCUUUCUUGUGACCAAUCCUCACCUGUUUCCAAGCAAGGAAAUCUUUCUCCUGGUGAGACAUAUUUUACGCAGAGGACUGGAAGUGAACAACUGCACAAGUAUGACGGUCAUGAUGGCCCUUUACGGACAUCACAUAAUAUCUGGACAAGUGUACACACACACAUAUGUAUGUCUGAAGAAUUUCUUAUAGGAAAUAUCUUACAUGUUUUCUCUACGUGUAAAAGUUUAUAAUUCCUAUUAGGAAAUGAAACACAUGUAAUGCUGAAUAAAUAAUAUCAAACUUUUCUCCACUGUC